rnacentral:rRNA from 1 species
CGUAGGGUGCGAGCGUUAAUCGGAAUUACUGGGCGUAAAGCGUGCGCAGGCGGUUUUGUAAGACAGGUGUGAAAUCCCCGGGCUUAACCUGGGAACUGCGCUUGUGACUGCAAGACUCGAGUACGGCAGAGGGGGGUAGAAUUCCACGUGUAGCAGUGAAAUGCGUAGAGAUGUGGAGGAAUACCGAUGGCGAAGGCAGCCCCCUGGGUCGAUACUGACGCUCAUGCACGAAAGCGUGGGGAGCAAACAGGAUUAGAUACCCUGGUAGUCCACGCCCUAAACGAUGCGAACUAGGUGUUGGGGAAGGAGACUUCCUUAGUACCGCAGCUAACGCGUGAAGUUCGCCGCCUGGGGAGUACGGUCGCAAGAUUA